rnacentral:tRNA from 1 species
GGUGAAUUGGCCGAGAUUAGGCAAUAGAUUGUAAAUCUAUUCACGGAGUUUGUCCAUUCACCA